rnacentral:rRNA from 1 species
GGAGUCUGGACCGUGUCUCAGUUCCAGUGUGGGGGACCUUCCUCUCAGAACCCCUACCGAUCGUAGCCACGGUGGGCCGUUACCCCGCCGUCAAGCUAAUCGGACGCAUCCCCAUCCCAUGGCGUCAAACUUUAGUGCUCCUCAGAUGUCCUCAAAGCACAACAUAGGGUGUUAAUCCGCAUUUCUACGGGCUAUGCCCUACCAGGGGGAAGGUUGGAUACGCGUUACUCACCCAUUCGCCGGUCGUCGCCCAGCAGGAGCAAGCUCCCGCCAUGUUACCCCUCGACUUGCAUGUGUUAAGCCUGUAGCUAGCGUUCAUC